UCGCGGUCUGGGUGGCGGUCAUGUCGUGCUCCUUCGGCGGGCGCGCGCCGUCACGCGGCGACGGCGGACGAUAGACCGUCCUAUCACGACGAA
rnacentral:tRNA from 1 species